GCUAAGAAUAUUCCGCAAUGGACGAAAGUCUGACGGAGCGACGCCGCGUGGAUGAGGAAGGCCGAAAGGUUGUAAAGUCCUUUUGUCGAUGAAGAAUAAGUGGUGGAGGGAAUGCCAUCAUGAUGACGUUAGUCGGCGAAUAAGCCCCGGCUAAUUACGUGCCAGCAGCCGCGGUAACACGUAAGGGGCAAGCGUUGUUCGGAAUUAUUGGGCGUAAAGGGUACGUAGGCGGUUAUGUAAGCCCGGCGUGAAAUCCUGCAGCUUAACUGUAGAGCUGCGCUGGGAACUGCGUAACUUGAGUCAUGGAAGGGAAGUUAGAAUUCCAGGUGUAGGGGUGAAAUCUGUAGAUAUCUGGAAGAAUACCGGUGGCGAAGGCGAACUUCUGGCCAAUGACUGACGCUGAGGUACGAAAGUGCGGGGAGCAAACAGGAUUAGAUACCCGGGUAGUCC
rnacentral:rRNA from 1 species